GACACCGGAUGUGCUAUAAAACCGUUCCGGAGGACAUUUUCUGUACAUGUUGCAGAAGACGUCCACUCUGUACACCAUGCUUUCUCCAUUCAGGCUCGAAAUAUUUGAAUUUAACAUGGCUAGGAAAAGCGUGUUAGUGUGCUUAUUCUUAAGUCAGUAUUAUAAUACAUGACUUAAGUGCGCAGAAAAUGUACUUUAGAUCUUAAAGCAUUAUAGUGCAUGUUGGAGCGAUGCGACAAGGCCGCAAAAGCGUGGAAAUGCGGAGGACCUGUAAUAAACUCUGAUCCAUGCGGUGGUUCUGAGCUGUCUCCACAUCUGCACGAGGUCCGAAGGACGAUGGUCCGCCAUGACUUUUGACGAGAAAAAGGUUUGAAGUGUGGAUUGAUCCCAGCAAUGGCAACAUGGUAAGUAUAUUUUGGGUAAGCAGGAAGUUACAAAUAAUGCUCAUGGUUAGACUUCUGAUUUUAUAAAUAUAACAAGUCUGACAUGGCUCACCGAAUGUCUUUAAUGAUGUUUCAGUAACUAUGUAUUUUUUUCUUCUUCUCUGCAGCAGUCAGACUGCGGUGCUCUGGAAAUGGACAAGCUGUAAAUUAUAGCUGACAUGAGGACUCAAGUUUAAAAAUAUAUUGGAAUUGUGGGAGUAUAAUGUCCUGUAUGAAUAAAGCAUUUCUAAACCAG